GAUCCUGGCUCAGGAUGAACGCUAGCUACAGGCUUAACACAUGCAAGUCGAGGGGAAACGACAUCGAAAGCUUGCUUUUGAUGGGCGUCGACCGGCGCACGGGUGAGUAACGCGUAUCCAACCUGCCCACCACUUGGGGAUAACCUUGCGAAAGUAAGACUAAUACCCAAUGACAUCCCACGAAGACAUCUGAAUGGGAUUAAAGAUUUAUCGGUGAUGGAUGGGGAUGCGUUCCAUUAGUUUG
rnacentral:rRNA from 1 species